rnacentral:lncRNA from 1 species
GCGGGGAACGGGGGCAGCCCCUGGGGAGGAAUGGGAGAGGGAGGAGGACGCCAGGGGCACAGGGACAGCCUCCGGGGCGGGGCGCGGCGCCAGCCUAGCCCGAGGAUGGAGGCUGAGGCCGCCUGUUGAGUCACAGCUUGGAGUGCAGUGGAAAGAAAAAAGAAAGACACAGCCCGAUUCUGUUACCACCCUCAUCCUUUACCUUGGCCUUCCAACAUCUAUAAGAACUUAACCUGCCUUGUAAGGAUUAGAUGAGACUGUGUGCAUAAGAACCGACCGCCAGGCCCGUGGCAAAACUGAGAGUAGAUUGUGGAGAAAGCCAUUUGUUCUGACCUCCUCCCUUCUGUUUACAUACAAAACCAAAGCCUUUGUGAGAAUUGUGUAUGUUAUGACCUUCAUUUAGGAAGUCAGUUAAGUGUUUGAAUUUGGAAAAGUUGGGUGUUCUGACAAUUUACACUGGUAAUAAAGCAGAGAGGGGCCAGUGCGGUGGCUCAAGCCUGUAAUCCCAGCACUUUGAGAGGCCAAAGUGGAUGGAUCACCUGACGUUAAGAGCUCGAGACCAGCCUGG